GCCUGGGUAGUUCAGUUGGUUAAGCAUCUGACUUUAGAUCAGGUCAUGAUCUCACAGUUGGUGGGUUCGAACCCCACAUCAGGCU
rnacentral:tRNA from 1 species